rnacentral:ncRNA from 2 species
AACGUGCUCCGGGGUCGGUGUAAGUCCGAACCGGCGGUGAAAGUCCGCGACCCGUUGGUUCUUCGGAAACGACGGUUGAGCUGGUGAAAUUCCAGCACCGACGGUUAAAGUCCGGAUGAGAGGCGCACGAA